rnacentral:rRNA from 1 species
AUUGAACGCUGGCGGCAGGCCUAACACAUGCAAGUCGAACGAGUGGCGGACGGGUGAGUAAUGUCUGGGAAACUUCCCGAUGGAGGGGGAUAACUACUGGAAACGGUAGCUAAUACCGCAUACCAUCGGAUGUGCCCAGAUGGGAUUAGCUAGUAGGUGGGGUAACGGCUCACCUAGGCGACGAUCCCUAGCUGGUCUGAGAGGAUGACCAGCCACACUGGAACUGAGAAACGGUCCAGACGCCUACGGGAGGCAGCAGUGGGGAAUAUUGCACAAUGGGCGCAAGCCUGAUGCAGCCAUGCCGCGUGUAUGAAGAAGGCCUUCGGGGUGGAAAGUACUUUCAGCGAGGAGGCGUUACCCGCAGAAGAAGCACCGGCUAACGCCGUGCCAGCAGCCGCGGUAAUUC